CAAUGUCAUAGAUAACGAUUCAAGCUUCAUGUAGUUAGUGCAGUGAAUGUUUCUGUGAUUGUUAUUGAGAAUUACAAAAAAUUCUUGUGUUUGUUCUCAAAUGCAAGCCUGUGUUGCAAAAAGUAUAUGUCUGGGUGAAAUCUUCACCGAACAGCAAUGGCGCUGUCUAUAAAUGGUCAUUCAUUGAUGUAUUGCCUGUUUGUUCUUUCAACAACGACAGGCGUUGGAGCAUUCUUGUUUGAUACGGAUGCGUGUAGCAGCAGAUUUACCGAAUAUAGAGACCUUAUCAACCUCGCGCAUGUGGAAAACUGUCUUAGCAUAGACAAAGUUUUCACGAAGUUAAAACUUCUUGGGGACCGAGACCAGUACUGUCUUAGCCAUGUGUUAAAUCAAUUGGGUGACAGGUACGGUGUUUCCGUCACAAUACCCGAGGAUUGUCAGUGUAACGGUACCAACUCCCUUAUGAACUACCAAUAUUCUGUACAAGACGGCGUAGAUGACAGGAAGCGUCAAUGUUUGUAUUAUCAACCCAACUACAAAGCUCUGUUUGACCAGUUUUUCGUUGACAACGGCAACAGAGCUCCUGCCUGUCGAUCCCACCACUCGUUGUGGUUCCACCUUUCGCGCAUCAAGGAUUUCAGUUGUUUAAAGGAUUUGAUAUACCACUUGAAAUAUUCGUUUGAUCAGCACCCAAGUCCAUGUGUCUGCAAACAGAGUGUUCAGUAUAGGGACCCAAACAACUGCCUGCAGUUCCACAGCUAUCAAGAAUUGAUGAAACUGUACGAUACCAACUUAUGCUCGAGCAAGAAUUCUCAAUGGAACCUUUUGAAUGAUCUAGAAAUAAGGAGCCCGGAUUGUCGCAAGAAAAUAAUUGCCGAACUUGCCCAACAUUUCCACAAAUAUCCCUCCGUUGGUGCAUGCCACUGUUUUCCUGUAAAGAAUAUAUCCAACGAUGAACCUGUCUUAAAUGACGACAAAAGGGAUCAAUGUUCCAAUGUGCAAUAUAGCAGCUAUAGCCACCUGCGCCAAGAGCUAUUUCAAGGAGCGAGUGUUGCUGGCUGCGCUUCACAUGCCCAGCUAUGGCAACAGUUGCAGGACAUUCAGCAAUCCCAUGGUUAUGACUGUACAAUGGACAUGAUUCUAAGAACAGCAAAUAAAUAUCCCAGUGCAGAGUCGGACCCUUGCAAAUGUACAGGCACAUUACCCAUAACAUCCACCAGUACAACGACACGAACUUCUUCGAGUACAACGACUACAACAACAAGUUCUACAACUACUUCAACAACUACAACAACUUCAGCUGCUCCAUCUACUCCGAACAGAUUUCAGUGCCGCAAAUACGACCUUAUUGUUGAUAUUGCAACUGCUAAAUACGCGCACUCAAAUGACUCCACACCAUGUGAAAGCAAAAUCUCCGGCACAAAUGAGGACUUGUUACUCACACUAUGCAACAUAACGGCAGUGGAGACGUGAUCUCGAGGUCUUCAGGUAACAUUUGUGAGAUAUUUUGAAAAUCUGUCAUAGACGAGGACAUAUAGCUCAGUGAAGCAUUAUGUGAUUAGUAACUGUGCAAACAUCGUCAGCUACUCCCCGAUCGCCACGUUCAGUGCCACAGGGAGCUACCAACCUGCUGAUGCCCAGUCAGGGGUGUUCCUGGAAUGUAUACCCGAAGGAUUCAAGAUGGCCAUCCAACCAUGCAAUGGGGUGCCCCAGAUCAUCCAUGUUGAGACGACCGGUGUGUUUAACAACAACGCCAACAUUUACUACAUGGUGGUUUAGUGUGCACUGAUAAACACCAAAUGUAACAAUCCAAUAUAAAAUUUUACUAUACUACUUUGACGGAGAGCGAUGCUUGUAAAAUAAAUCAAAUGCAUAUGAAAUUGUAGUUGCGAUUGAUUAUAUUCAUUUAUGCUCGAUGGCAAUAUGAAUAAGUUAUGUAUUAAAUACAAAUGAGUUUUGCAUGUGAUUUGAUAUCAAUAUGUUUUUUUCCGUUCGAAUGGAUGUAUUAAAUAAUGAGAGAAUAAUACAUUUUUUUAAAUUUGUUAGAGAACAUGCGUUUCUAAAUCAACAGCUGAAUGUACAUACCAUAAUAUGUGAAUAGGAUGAGCCAAUACAAAUUAUGUAAAAAGAAAAUCACGUCAUUUACUGGAAACAACGGUAAAUAACUACGUUCAGAUGGAAAAGUGAUAACAACUGAUUGCUCUAGUAACAAAGGGUCACACUCAUCGAGUACGUUCCAUGAAUACUACAUUGCAAUGUUAUAUGACGAAAACAAAAGCAUGGUUAAAGGAUUUCUUGAAUAAUAUGUAAACGUUAUGUGUAUUCGAGGGUAGUUUUUACACUUUUGUUCCGUAUUUCAAAAUUAACAAGUAAAGUGCAUCUCAGCGGAAUUUAAGAAUGAUAUAAUCUUGUAGACCUUAAAAUCAUACAUAGACACAAAUAUCUUUGUUUUUAAAGUAUGUAUGUGCUUUAUGACAUUGAAUAUUUUGUGUUCUUACUUUCAAUCAGAUAAAUAUGCACCUGCUUCACACGAUCAGUGUUAAUUCGCAUAUCUUUAGUAAAUGUAUUGUAAAUUAAUUGAAUGUGCAUAUGUUGUGUAAGAAUACGUAUAUUAUGAUUAUAUUUCAACAAAGUGUCAGUGGUUACUAAUUAGAAGUUAUUGUGUAUAGUUUAUGAAUUUGUAUUAUUGUGUGUUCAGGUAACAUUACUCUUUGAAAUAAUACAUGUAUUUCGAAGGUGUACGUACCGCUUCCAAUAAUAUUUUUGCGACUAUACAAUAUGUAAGAAGAGGUAAGUAUUUCUUUUUCAAUAAAUGUUUGAAAUAUAA